rnacentral:rRNA from 1 species
GACGAACGCUGGCGGCGUGCUUAACACAUGCAAGUCGAACGGAAAGGCCCUGCUUUUGUGGGGUGCUCGAGUGGCGAACGGGUGAGUAACCCGUGAGUAACCUGCCCUUGACUUUGGGAUAACUUCAGGCAACUGGGGCUAAUACCGGAUAGGAGCUCCUGCUGCAUGGUGGGGGUUGGAAAGUUUCGGCGGUUGGGGAUGGACUCGCGGCGUAUCAGCUUGUUGGUGGGGUAGUGGCUUACCAAGGCUUUGACCGGUAGCCGGCCUGAGAGGGUGACCGGCCACAUUGGGACUGAGAUACGGCCCAGACUCCUACGGGAGGCAGCAGUGGGGAAUAGUGCACAAUGGGCGGAAGCCUGAUGCAGCAACGCCGCGUGCGGGAUGACGGCCUUCGGGUUGUAAACCGCUUUCGCCUGUGACGAAGCGUGAGUGACGGUAAUGGGUAAAGAAGCACCGGCUAACUACGUG